rnacentral:rRNA from 1 species
AGCCUAGGAAUCUGCCUGGUAGUGGGGGAUAACGUCCGGAAACGGGCGCUAAUACCGCAUACGUCCUGAGGGAGAAAGUGGGGGAUCUUCGGACCUCACGCUAUCAGAUGAGCCUAGGUCGGAUUAGCUAGUUGGUGGGGUAAAGGCCUACCAAGGCGACGAUCCGUAACUGGUCUGAGAGGAUGAUCAGUCACACUGGAACUGAGACACGGUCCAGACUCCUACGGGAGGCAGCAGUGGGGAAUAUUGGACAAUGGGCGAAAGCCUGAUCCAGCCAUGCCGCGUGUGUGAAGAAGGUCUUCGGAUUGUAAAGCACUUUAAGUUGGGAGGAAGGGCAGUAAGUUAAUACCUUUUUUUUUUGACGUUACCAACAGAAUA